CCAAUAGCGUAUAUUAAAGUUGCUGCAGUUAAAAAGCUCGUAGUUGAAUUUCGGGAUUAAUUUACUGGUCGUGCCUACGGUACGUACUGGUUUGUUGAUUCCUCUCUUCUGAGGAGCCGCGAUGUCAUUAACUUGGUGUCGCGUGGAAUCAGGACUGUUACUUUGAAAAAAUUAGGGUGUUUAAAGCAGGCUAACGCUUGAAUACAUUAGCAUGGAAUAAUGAAAUAGGACGAUUGAUCCUAUUUUGUUGGUUUCUAGGAUCGACGUAAUGAUUAAUAGGGAUAGUUGGGGGCAUUAGUAUUCAAUUGUCAGAGGUGAAAUUCUUGGAUUUAUUGAAGACUAACUACUGCGAAAGCAUUUGCCAAGGAUGUUUUCAUUAAUCAAGAACGAAAGUUAGGGGAUCGAAGACGAUCAGAUACCGUCGUAGUCUUAACCAUAAACUAUGCCGACUAGGGAUCGGAUGAUAAUUUAUUAAUAACUCAUUCGGCGCCUUACG
rnacentral:rRNA from 1 species